UGGGGAAUAUUGCACAAUGGGCGCAAGCCUGAUGCAGCCAUGCCGCGUGUAUGAAGAAGUCCUUCGGGUUGUAAAGUACUUUCAGCGGGGAGGAAGGGAGUAAAGUUAAUACCUUUGCUCAUUGACGUUACCCGCAGAAGAAGCACCGGCUAACUCCGUGCCAGCAGCUGCGGUAAUACGGAGGGUGCAAGCGUUAAUCGGAAUUACUGGGCGUAAAGCGCACGCAGGCGGUUUGUUAAGUCAGAUGUGAAAUCCCCGGACUCAACCUGGGAACUGCAUCUGAUAAUGGCAAGCUUGAGUCUCGUAGAGGGGGGUAGAAUUCCAGGUGUAGCGGUGAAAUGCGUAGAGAUCUGGAGGAAUACCGGUGUCGAAGGCGGCCCCAUGGAAGAAGACUGACGCUCAGGUGCGAAAGCGUGGAGAGCAAACAGG
rnacentral:rRNA from 1 species